UACGUAGGGUGCGAGCGUUAAUCGGAAUUACUGGGCGUAAAGCGUGCGCAGGCGGUUUUGUAAGCCAGAUGUGAAAUCCCCGGGCGUUAACCUGGGAAUGGCAUUUGGGACUGCAAGGCUUGAGUGCGGCAGAGGAGACUGGAAUUCCUGGUGUAGCAGUGAAAUGCGUAGAUAUCAGGAGGAACACCGAUGGCGAAGGCAGGUCUCUGGGCUGACACUGACGCUCAUGCACGAAAGCGUGGGGAGCGA
rnacentral:rRNA from 1 species